rnacentral:rRNA from 1 species
GGUAGCACAAGAGAGCUUGCUCUCUGGGUGACGAGCGGCGGACGGGUGAGUAAUGUCUGGGAAACUGCCUGAUGGAGGGGGAUAACUACUGGAAACGGUAGCUAAUACCGCAUGACGUCUUCGGACCAAAGUGGGGGACCUUCGGGCCUCACGCCAUCAGAUGUGCCCAGAUGGGAUUAGCUAGUAGGUGGGGUAAUGGCUCACCUAGGCGACGAUCUCUAGCUGGUCUGAGAGGAUGACCAGCCACACUGGAACUGAGACACGGUCCAGACUCCUACGGGAGGCAGCAGUGGGGAAUAUUGCACAAUGGGCGCAAGCCUGAUGCAGCCAUGCCGCGUGUAUGAAGAAGGCCUUCGGGUUGUAAAGUACUUUCAGCGAGGAGGAAGGCAUUAAGGUUAAUAACCUUAGUGAUUGACGUUACUCGCAGAAGAAGCACCGGCUAACUCCGUGCCAGCAGCCGCGGUAAUACGGAGGGUGCAAGCGUUAAUCGGAAUUACUGGGCGUAAAGCGCACGCAGGCGGUUUGUUAAGUCAGAUGUGA